GAGACUCUGUGCGCGUGCAUAUCAAUAAGCGGAGGAAAAGAAACUAACAAGGAUUCCCUUAGUAACGGCGAGUGAAGCGGGAAGAGCUCAAAUUUGAAAUCUUCAAGGUUCUACCUUGACGAAUUGUAGUUUAAAGAAGUGUUUUCUGUUAGAUGAGUAGCAAAAGUUCCUUGGAAUAGGACAUCAUAGAGGGUGAGAAUCCCGUAUUUGACCAUUAUUCAUUCAGCUGCGUGAUACACUUUCAAAGAGUCGGAUUGUUUGGGAAUGCAGUCCAAAAUGGGUGGUAAAUUUCAUCUAAAGCUAAAUAUUGGCGAGAGACCGAUAGCGAACAAGUACCGUGAGGGAAAGAUGAAAAGAACUUUGAAAAGAGAGUUAAACAGUACGUGAAAUUGUCAAAAGGGAAGCGUUUGACACCAGUGUUGUUUUUCCGAAAAUCAAUUGCGAAUGGCUUGAUUUUGUGUUGUAUUGACCUUAUCAGCUUUCUUCACUUUUUUCGAGUCUUUCUUAAUGCACUUUUCGGUUAACAAGUCAACAUCAAUUUCUUUUGUUGUAAAAGAGUAUUCGGAAGGUGGCUUUCUUUUCGGAGAAAGUGUUUAUAGCCCUAUACUUCUACAAUCGGAGAGAUUGAGGUCUGCAGCGUAGAUCCUUCGGGGUUAGAUACAUUUGUGCUAAGUUGUAGCUUUUCAUAGACAACUUGUUGACUAUGUUUAGUCAUGCGGCUUACUCGCUUAUGCUAUUUUACCUACGCUUAGGAUGUUGACUGAUAUGUAGUCGUA
rnacentral:rRNA from 1 species